rnacentral:rRNA from 1 species
ACAAGUACCGUGAGGGAAAGUUGAAAAGAACUUUGUAGAGAGAGUUCAAAAGGGCGUGAAACCGCUUAGAACGAAACGGACGGAGCCGUCUGGUGCCUUCGGGAAUCAGUCGUACGAUAAGCGAACGCGCUCGCGGUUACCGUAACGCAAGUACGGCCGCGUCGUUUGUCAGUAGCUUACGUGCGGCGCAUUUCUCGAGGGUUAGCGCCGCGACCGGUACGAACGACCGGCGAAGCGAUCGGAUUGAGGUCGAGACUCGUUAAGUUUCUCGUAACCAGUCUCGUCGUUGUAAGUCGUCGGAUCUAAGUACCGAGCGCCUUGUCUUUAAUAGUACGUCGGCUGUAAAAGCUCGUCGAGUAACGGAUGAUCGGCCUAUUAGCCUGUACCUGCUCGCAGGUGCUAGCGAAUUGGGUCGGUUUUUGAAGUUGCAGGCGACGUAUCGACGUAUAGGCGUCCGCGGCGUCAGCGUCGGUCGCCCGUCCGACCCGUCUUGAAACACGGACCAAGGAGUCUAACAUAUGCGCGAGCUAUCGGGCGGAAAACCCGAAAGCGCAAUAAAAGUAAACGCCGUCCUCGCGUCGGCUAAGGUACGAUCCUAAAUCGCGAAAACGGUUUAGGCGCAGUACUGUCCCGUCUCGACCGCUCGUCGGUAGGGCGGAGAUAGAGUGCAUACGUUGGGACCCGAAAGAUGGUGAACUAUGCCUGAGCAGAGCGAAACCAGAGGAAACUCUGGUGGAGGUUCGUAGCGGUUCUGACGUGCAAAUCGAUCGUCAGACUUGGGUAUAGGGGCGAAAGACUAAUCGAACCAUCUAGUAGCUGGUUCCUUCCGA